UCAUCUCGAAUCUGUAAUUAGUUUCCCUCAAAACUCUUCCAAAUCCUUCAAAUUUUGAUUUGAAAUCAUAAACCCUAGCACUGUCACAAUUUCUUCGGUGGCGACGCCGCUUCUUUUCGACCCCAAAAUAACAGCAGGUGACCACCAUGACUUCCCUAUUCAAAAUCCCUAACCCAUACCCCUCGAAUCAACAUUGAACUCGCCGAAUCUUAAAAUCAGAAGUCCAACUCAAGAAGCUCAAAAUAUCUCCCUUCAAACUUGGUAGCAUGCCAUAUUUUCUCGCAAUGUUGACCAGC
rnacentral:lncRNA from 1 species